CGGGAACUGUGGAUAAAUAAAUGUUUUAUAUCAAUGUGUAAUAUUGUAGUUAUAUUUUGGGGCCCUAUGCUAAACCUAGCUUGUGGGAUGGGGAGGGAGAGACUGUCAUAGGACUCAAAUGUGGGAAUGCAUCGCAGAACAGCUUAACUGUAAAUUGGGGUUUGUGUGUGAGUUUAGACACUUGUCAGAAUGGAGAGUGAGUUUUGGCCCAAGAGUGUUGAUGGGGUGCAUUGUGUACGUGUGAGAGUGCUUUGGAUACACUGGGGGUGUGUCUCUUAAAUCCACACACCCCUCUUUUCCUCUUUCUCUCACACACCCCUCUCUUCCUCUUUCUCUCACACACACACUGAGCUUGGAUCCUAAUCUCCCUCACUGCUAGUUCUCUGGCCUGCUCCUCUCAUGGAGAGAUGACUCAUGUUGAUUACUAAUGCGACAGGCGUUGGUUUGGUGUCAGUGUUUAUGGCUGGGUGAGGGUUGUUUCUGUCAUUUCUCUGUGGGUCCAGUGCCGAGGAGGCGUCGGUCAGGACGUAGCUCUGAAAUGGCCGGCGUCACACUGCUUCUGCUUUGUCUACUUCCUGUUGAUGGCUUUUCUGGCCCUGCAGUGGGGAGAUGGAGCAGCUCUAUUGAAGUGUGCUGUGUUGGAGUGAGAAGGGCCCUACUGUAACAGACCCGCCUGACCGUGAAUGGGGAGAUUGCACACUGGGCUGAUAGAUUGGUGCUCGGAGGUCACUCGCAAGUCUCCAUUAGUGGAGUCGCGUGAAAUGAACAAACUGUGUAGGCUUGGUUUGUGUGAGUGUACCUUCUCUGACAUUGGUGUUGUGCAGAGGGAACCCCAGUCAGUCAGUUAGCUCUGCGGUCACUCUGCCUGCCUUGUGCUCUACUGGGCAUGUGUUGUGUGUUGGACAAGUGGGAACGGACUGCUGGAGUUUUUGCAGGAUUAACACCCACAACUGCAUGACUGGUGUUUCUAUGGCUCAGAAGGGUUCCUAUUUAUAGAUGUCAGGCCUGGUGUAAAUUACUAUAAACAAUAAACUGAACCUCUACCUCCCUGCCUGCACACACCCCUGUCCAAAACAGUUACCUCUGGCUAGUUACUCACCACAUUAAACUCUACUAUUUUAGGGUGAAAUUAACUCUCUAAAAUACAUGAAUACACCCAAACCAAGUGUGGAAUUGUCAGCUUUAAGUCCCUAACCAUUCUAGAUGAAUGCUGAUAAUUGUGAUUUUGGUUUAAUGUGACUGGAUUUUGGUAGUUGGGUUCUGUUAAUAGUGAUUAUAUUCUGUUCAAUUUAUUGUAAUAAUUUUAUGAAAAAUGCAGUGUUGUGUGUGUGUGUGUGGGAGAGGGAUAGUAAGAAAUGUGUUUGUAGGUUGUGUGUCGAUGAAGUAUAAUUAAAAUGUAGGCCUAUAUUAUAUUUUAGAAAGUGAUUGCCAUCUUUAAAAAGUCAAACAUUCUUAGAUAAUGGACAAGAACAUGCCUCCAUACACAAGUACCCAGUUCUUCCAACUUCAGUCUAGUUACACCAUGUAGUUACACCAUGUCAUGGUGUAACUAGACUAAAGUUGGAAGUACAUCUGGGUUAUUGUGUAUGGAGGGAUGUCCUUGAAAAUAAAGCCAUAGCUAAGGAAAUUGCCCUAUUAUGUUGAGUUUGACUUUAAAAAAAUCAAUAAUAAUAUAGAUUUAUCUAGUGUGCCAUUUUAGAUGUGAAGUUGCAUGGGACUGCUUUCAAAACUAAAAUCCUUUCCCAGAAUGUAAUAUCAGGCAUGUAUAACUUGUCCAGUUAUUUGAAAUGUAUUUGCAUGUUUGGUACUAGUUGCUGUCUGAACUGAAUUAUGAUGUAACUGCUUUUUAUACUCGACAGCAUUGUGCAUACAAUCCUCAUAACCUACUUAAAAUAAUCAAAGAAAUUAUAACUUUUCCCUCAACUAAAGUCUGGAUGUAUCAACUCUUAUCAAAUUAAUUAUUUAAAUGAUAAUCAUUCUCCUAUUGAAUAACAAUAAAGCAACAUUUUAACAUUUACAUAACUAUUGUCAGUAUAGUUUAGUAACUUCUUAGAAAUGUACCAUAUAGCCUACACAACAUACGCACAUAGCAGAACAGACUUGUAUUACAAGUGAGGCUAAACUAAAUUUGCUCUUGACAAGAGAAGGGUUUGUGAUGAUGGGGGUCUAGAGCGUCCUGCCCCUGUGGAAGGGGGUCACUCGACCUUUGCCCCCAGAGUCAGGUCACUCUGAGUUGCUUAUUCAGGGUGCGCGCCAUAGGAACUGGUUAAAAGGCUGAGGAACAGAGGUGACAAUGGGAGAGAGCAGGGAAAGGUUAAAAAGCCAUACUGGUGUGUGUGUGUGGAUAUUGGGUUUUAGUGACAACUGGUCAAGGCUCCUCUUGGCCCACUGAUGCAGUCUGGCCUCAUUCAAUCACCUGGUUCCUGAGUUAAUUUAUGAUUUUUCAUGAAGGUAAAGCGGGAGCGAGAGAGACCCAGAGAGGGAAUGUCUCAAGGAGUGGGAGGGAGUGGUGUGUGUGUGGAGUGCACAAGUGUGUUAUUUUUCAAUCAACCGGGAGAGCGGGAAUGCAAUUUAAUUAGAAAAAUAUGACAUGCCUGAUGUGAAAUGUAAUCAACUGAAAUGAAGUCUGUAUACUGUAGUUGCUGGUAUGGAAAGUGGGUAAAGUGGUACAGAUAGUUUAAUUUAUUACGAUGUACAUGAGUCUGAAGCAUUAAUAUUAUUCAGGCAAUAAUUAACACUUGUGUCUGUAUUUAUAUAGUGACCAGAAUACACCUUUGCUACCGCAGAUCUUCAAUUGAAAAUGUCUAUGGAUUUUCACUUUUAAUUAGUGUUCUAGAUAAACCACUAAAACUUGGACCUUAUAUUUCUAGUUUUCUUGUCAGCGUCAUGAAAUAUAGGCCAGUUGCAAUUGAGGCCCCCAUUUUCAAAACCUCUUUUAAAAAGGGGACAUAUUUAAGUGACCUAUCUAGAAGUCAUUUGUGGUUUGCUUUGCUGCACAUUUAGUUGUCAGUGGCUAUUUAACUAAUUCUCUGAGAGAAUUUGUAUUCAGUAUGAGGGAAACGGAAAUCUAUUAAUCAUUAGUUUCCUUGCGUGUCUUUUGACCCACCUUGUCCAAAUUAAUAUUUGUGCCUCAGAGAGGGAGAGUGUGUAUUUGUAUCCCUUGCUCACACUCUGUCCUGGUUAAGUACUUUCUGUUCUAUGAACACUUAGCAGAACACAAUGGAGCAGGCAUUAUCUUUGUAACCCAAAAGUACUCCGCCACAGAACACCUGGGAUACUGCCAUCAAUGAUGCAUGUUCUUGUCCAUUAUCGAAGAAUGUUUGACUUUUUAAAGAUGGCAAUCACUUUCUAAAAUAUAAUAUAGGCCUACAUUUGAAUUAUACUUCAAUGGCACACAACCUACAAACACAUUUCUUACUAUCCCUCUCGUGUAGAUUUUAUGUAUCAUACUUCCCGUGGAGUCUUGUACAGGUGAAAAGGCUUCAAGUUGAGGCUCACUAAAAUCUUAACUGAAAUGGUAAAAAAUAUGAAAUACUGAAAAGAUUGUGUUAGGAGGCCAUAGGACGCAACGAUCUGAAAUUCGAAUAAAUUAAAGCACAGCCUAUCAGCUGUUUAGUACAACUUCACCUUUUGGGGGGGGUAAAUGAAUAACUAAAGAUAUUAUUUCUCAUAUGGUGUAACUUGAGUAAAGAGAAAAUCCUAGGCCAAAUGUCUUUUUAGCUAACUGGCAGUGCUGCUGUUAAUUUAAAAGUUGUACUGUAAUUAAACUGUAAGAUGCCAAA